UACGUAGGGGGCGAGCGUUGUCCGGAUUUAUUGGGCGUAAAGAGCCCGUAGGCGGCUUAGCAAGUCGGGCGUGAAAUCCCUGGGCUCAACCCAGGAACUGCACUCGAAACUACUUUUCUUGAGUGCCGGAGAGGAAAGCGGAAUUCCUGGUGUAGAGGUGAAAUUCGUAGAUAUCAGGAGGAACACCAGUGGCGAAGGCGGCUUUCUGGACGGUAACUGACGCUGAGACGCGAAAGCGUGGGGAGCAAACAGG
rnacentral:rRNA from 1 species